ACGUUUUUUUCAUAGAGAUUUAGAUUUAAGGUUAGAAGAAUUGUGGAAGUCGUGAGACUUCCCUUUUUUUCAUCUUAACGUUUACUAUCCUUCAUUAUAGGAAUGCAAGAACACUGUUUUUUAGUGUUCGGUUGAAAAUAUUGCAGGGUGAUGAUGCAGAAUAAGUAAACCUAAAAAGCCUUCUUCGGGAGAAGAGGCUUUUUU
rnacentral:sRNA from 2 species